rnacentral:rRNA from 1 species
UACGUAGGGUGCGAGCGUUGUCCGGAAUUAUUGGGCGUAAAGAGCUCGUAGGCGGUGUGUCACGUCGGCCGUGAAAACCUGCAGCUUAACUGUGGGCGUGCGGUCGAUACGGGCAUCACUGGAGUUCGGCAGGGGAGACUGGAAUUCCUGGUGUAGCGGUGAAAUGCGCAGAUAUCAGGAGGAACACCGGUGGCGAAGGCGGGUUGCUGGGCCGACACUGACGCUGAAGUGCGAAAGCUAGGGGAGCGAACGGG